rnacentral:rRNA from 1 species
GAUGAACGCUAGCUACAGGCUUAACACAUGCAAGUCGAGGGGCAUCACGAUUGAAGUUUACCUUAAUUGGUGGCGACCGGCGCACGGGUGAGUAACACGUAUCCAACCUUCCGUUCACUCGGGGAUAGCCUUUCGAAAGAAAGAUUAAUACCCGAUGUGAUAUACGAAGCGCAUGAUUUGUCUAUGAAUGGAUUCCGGUGGUCGUUGGGGAUGCGUUUCAUUAGAUUGUUGGUGAGGUAAUGGCUCACCAAGUCUUCGAUGAAUAGGGGUGCUGAGAGGAAGGUCCCCCACACUGGUACAGAGACACGGACCAGACUCCGACGGGAGGCAGCAGUGAGGAAUAUUGGUCAAUGGACGGAAGGCUGAACCAGCCACGUAGCGUGAAGGAUGACCGCCCUAUGGGUCGUAAACUUCUUUUAUUUGGGACUAAAUUGAAGGACGUGUUCCUUUUUUGCAUGUACCAUUUGAAUCAGCAUCGGCUAACUCCGUGCCAGCCGCCGCCGUAA